GGCAGAAUGGCCGAGUGGUCUAAGGCGUCGUGUUUAGGACAUCAUCCGCUAAACUCCGCGAUCCGAAAGGGCGCAGGUUCGAACCCUGCUUCUGUCA